AAAGAUUGCAACUUCCAGAGGUCUGGUACACAAUAAGACCAAGGUAGCAGCAACCAUAAGCUGCAUGUAACCAGCAUAAGAAUCAAAUAUAAACCUCAAAUCAUUCUUAGAAGUCAAAAUAAACCAUAAAUAUUAAUUCAACUUGGCUUAACCAAAAACUGAUAAUAUCAUCCAAAAAGAAACACAUACUUUAUCAGCCACCGGAUCCAAAAAUGCACCAAAGGCA
rnacentral:misc_RNA from 1 species